rnacentral:rRNA from 1 species
CUCGGAAUAGCCUUUCGAAAGAAAGAUUAAUACCCGAUGGCAUAAUGAUUCCGCAUGGUUUCAUUAUUAAAGGAUUCCGGUAAAGGAUGGGGAUGCGUUCCAUUAGGUUGUUGGUGAGGUAACGGCUCACCAAGCCUUCGAUGGAUAGGGGUUCUGAGAGGAAGGUCCCCCACAUUGGAACUGAGACACGGUCCAAACUCCUACGGGAGGCAGCAUG